rnacentral:rRNA from 1 species
GAUGAACGCUGACAGAAUGCUUAACACAUGCAAGUCUACUUGAACUUCGGUUUGGGUGGCGGACGGGUGAGUAACGCGUAAAGAACUUGCCUCACAGCUAGGGACAACAUUUGGAAACGAAUGCUAAUACCUGAUAUUAUGAUUUUAGGGCAUCCUAGAAUUAUGAAAGCUAUAUGCGCUGUGAGAGAGCUUUGCGUCUCAUUAGCUAGUUGGAGAGGUAACGGCUCACCAAGGCGAUGAUGGGUAGCCGGCCUGAGAGGGUGAACGUCCACAAGGGGAUUAAGACACGGCCAUUAAUCCUACGGGAGGCAGCAGGGGGGAAUAUUGGACAAUGGACCAAGAGUCUGAUCCAGCAAUUCUGUGUGCACGAUGAAGUUUUUCGGAAUGUAAAGUGGUUUCAGUUGGGAAGAAAAAAAUGACGGUACCAACAGAAGAAGUGACGGCUAAAUACGUG